GAUGUACGCUGACGGCGUGCCUAAUACAUGCAAGUCGAGCGAACGGACGAGAAGCUUGCUUCUCUGAUGUUAGCGGCGGACGGGUGAGUAACACGUGGAUAACCUACCUAUAAGACUGGGAUAACUUCGGGAAACCGGAGCUAAUACCGGAUAAUAUUUUGAACCGCAUGGUUCAAAAGUGAAAGACGGUCUUGCUGUCACUUAUAGAUGGAUCCGCGCUGCAUUAGCUAGUUGGUAAGGUAACGGCUUACCAAGGCAACGAUGCAUAGCCGACCUGAGAGGGUGAUCGGCCACACUGGAACUGAGACACGGUCCAGACUCCUACGGGAGGCAGCAGUAGGGAAUCUUCCGCAAUGGGCGAAAGCCUGACGGAGCAACGCCGCGUGAGUGAUGAAGGUCUUCGGAUCGUAAAGCUCUGUUAUUAGGGAAGAACAUAUGUGUAAGUAACUGUGCACAUCUUGACGGUACCUAAUCAGAAAGCCACGGCUAACUACGUG
rnacentral:rRNA from 1 species